rnacentral:rRNA from 1 species
GACGAACGCUGGCGGCGUGCUUAACACAUGCAAGUCGAACGGAAAGGCCCUGCUUUUGUGGGGUGCUCGUGUGGCGAACGGGUGAGUAACACGUGAGUAACCUGUCCUUGACUUUGGGAUAACUUCAGGAAACUGGGGCUAAUACCGGAUAGGAGCUCCUGCUGCAUGGUGGGGGUUGGAAAGUUUCGGCGGUUGGGGAUGGACUCGCGGCUUAUCAGCUUGUUGGUGGGGUAGUGGCUUACCAAGGCUUUGACGGGUAGCCGGCAUGAGAGGGUGACCAGCGACAUGGGGCCUAAGAGAGGGACCAGAGGCGUACGGGAGGCAGCGGGGGGGAGUCUGACACAGUGGGCCGGAGUGUGAUGCGGAAGCGCUGGGUGCGGGAUGCCGGCUUUCUGGUUGUGAACAGCUGUCGCCUGAGACGAAGCGUGAGUGACGGUAAUGAAUAAAGAAGCACCGGCUAACUACGUG